rnacentral:rRNA from 1 species
CGGCCGCGUCGACGCAAGUCGAACGGAGUAGAAAUACUUAGUGGCGGACGGGUGAGUAACGCGUGAGAAUCUGCCUUCAGGACGGAGACAACAGUUGGAAACGACUGCUAAGCCCCGAUGAACCGAAAGGGAAAAUAUUUAUAGCCUGAAGAUGAGCUCGCGUCCGAUUAGCUAGUUGGCGGAGUAAAAGCCCACCAAGGCAAUGAUACGUAGCCGAACUGAGAGGUUGAUCGGCCACAUUGGGACUGAGACACGGCCCAAACUCCUACGGGAGGCAGCAGUAGGGAAUCUUCCACAAUGGACGCAAGUCUGAUGGAGCAACGCCGCGUGAGUGAAGAAGGCUUUCGGGUCGUAAAACUCUGUUGUUGGAGAAGAAUGGUCGGCAGAGUAACUAUUGUCGGCGUGACGGUAUCCAACCAGAAAGCCACGGCUAACUACGUGCCAGCAGCCGCGGUAAUACGUAGGUGGCAAGCGUUAUCCGGAUUUAUUGGGCGUAAAGCGAGCGCAGGCGGUUUUUAAGUCUGAUGUGAAAGCCCUCGGCUUAACCGAGG